GCGGCCUGGUCGUUGGUGAUCUCGGGCGGGACGACGUCGGUGCCGGUCCACAUCACCUCGACCUCGGCGUC
rnacentral:tRNA from 1 species